CCUACGGGCGGCAGCAGUGAGGAAUAUUGGUCAAUGGGCUUACGCCUGAACCAGCCAAGUCGCGUGAGGGAAGACUGCCCUAUGGGGUGUAAAACGCGUUUGUCAGGGAGCAAGUGGCGCUACGUGUAGCGUUAUCGAGAGUACCUGAAGAAAAAGCAGCGGCGAACUCCGUGCCAGCAGCCGCGGUAAUACGGAGGAUGCGAGCGUUAUCCGGAUUUAUUGGGUUGAAAGGGUGCGUAGGCGGAAUGCCAAGUCCGCGGUAAAAUCGCGGGGCUCAACCUCGCUCCGCCGUUGCAACUGGCGUUCUUGAGUGGGCGAGAAGUCUGCGGACUGCGUGGUGUAGCGGUGAACUGCAUCGCUAUCACGCAGAACUCCGAUUGCGAAGGCAGCAUACCGGCGCCCAACUGCCGCUGCGGCACGAAAGCGUGGGUAUCGAACAGGAUUAGCUACCCUAGUAGUC
rnacentral:rRNA from 1 species